CCAAUAUCCUGACGUGAUCUCCUCCGACGCAACGUCAAUUCCUCCUGCGUUAAUUGUCUAAUCCUGAUCGAGUAGACCUGUAUCACUCAAAAUGUAGUUAAACAUCUAAACACAAUCAAUUAGUUUCAUCAUCAAAAUUCGAGAUUCAACAAUCUCUCCCUUUUUGAUGAUGACAACUAAUUGAUGACUAACGAAGUUAACCUUAACUCCCCGGAGUUUAACCAAACUCCCACUAUCAAUAUGCCAUUGAUAGAGCACUUGGAUUAUCCCAAAUCCAAGUAACAUUCAUCACAUGUUAUGAAAAACAUUUAAACUAUCAUGCAAAUAUAUAAAAUAUUUAAUUCAAUGCAUGAAGUCAUCAAUAUACUUCUCCCCCUAUGUCAUCAACAAAAAGGAGAAGUAGCUCUAGCUAUUUUAAAAGAUAUGCUAGUUUUUGCAACAUGAAGCUAGAUUUUCAUCACAACAUAUAAGCA
rnacentral:lncRNA from 1 species